rnacentral:rRNA from 1 species
AUGAAAAAAUCAAAGGUGUAACCCGCCCAAUGAUUUUWAAUUAUAUAAAAAUAACCUAUUAUAAUAAAAUUUAAAGGGCGCAGUAACCUGGGCUGUGGUAAUGUAGCAUAAUCAUUCGCCAUUUGAUUGAUGGAUAGUAUGAAUGGUUGAACGAAUUCUUCACUGUCUUAAAAAGAGAAAUCAUGAAAUUGAAAUAAUAGUUAAGAUGCUAUUUACUAUUGUAAGACGAAAAGACCCUAUAGAGCUUAACUAUAAACUUUUUAAAAUUAAAAAAAUUUUAAUAAUUUCUAAAUAAAAAGUUAGGUAGUUUAGUUGGGGCGACUAUCUUCUAAAAUUAACGAASACAAGCAAUAUUAAUAAUUAAUUUAUUGUAUAAUUAAUAAAUUUAACAAUUMCAAAAGUAGGCUAUAAUGNCCCGUUAUAAUUUGAUAAUAAAAAUAACGAUUAAUAAAUAAAAGCUACCUUAGGGAUAACNGGAUAAUUUUGUUC